rnacentral:tRNA from 1 species
AAUAAAGUGCCUGAUAAAAGGAUUAUUUUGAUAGAAUAAAUUAUGUAACUCUCAUUACCUUUAUUA